UACGGGGGGAGCAAGCGUUGUUCGGAAUUACUGGGCGUAAAGGGCUCGUAGGUGGCCAACUAAGUCAGACGUGAAAUCCCUCGGCUUAACCGGGGAACUGCGUCUGAUACUGGAUGGCUAGAGAUUGGGAGAGGGAUGCGGAAUUCCAGGUGUAGCGGUGAAAUGCGUAGAUAUCUGGAGGAACACCGGUGGCGAAGGCGGCAUCCUGGACCAACACUGACGCUGAGGAGCGAAAGCCAGGGGAGCAAACGGG
rnacentral:rRNA from 1 species